UCACUUAAGACUUUAUACCUAUCCACAUGUGUGUGGCAGUUAGCCAGUGUGAGUGUGAUUACACCUACUUGAAGUCAUAUAUCUUUCACUUUGCGCUUUCAACAGUUUGUGACGUCCUCUCCGUCUACACAUUUAUCCUCCACUCCACUCGAGGGGGCGGUUAACAAAAGCUCUUUGAUAUACCGCCACCAACUCGACGCGACUCGACUUUCGAGACAUGCUACCAACACUUCAGCCCUAUAUAUAUACCCAACCCAUAGCCAUACCCAUACCCAUACUAUAGCCUCGCCUCAUUUGCUGCUGCCUCUGCCCGAAAAGCUCAGAAGUGGGCAUGUCAGCGAAAAUCACCGUAAAUUUUCCGCAUUGUUUAAAAUUUAUUACACUUUCAGAUUUGCCAGCGAACUGAACCGCACCGCGAGCGGGGGGCAAACGAUGCCUGAAUGUUGGGGGUGUUGGUGCGGUUGAUGAGGAAGUCGUUUGGGGCACGCCCUUUGUUUGCCGGGGUUUCUCCGGGGCCGCCUGCUAUCUCUGACAUGUUGCUGUCUAAUAAGUGUAACCAGUAAUUUUCUUAUCACGUAAACUGACUCAUGUAGCUGCCACCUUUUGGCCUCAUGGAGCCAGAAGGUCACCCCUAAGGUUGAGUUCACCAACGUCAAAUGCUCGUCUGCUGACACCUCGUACGUUUACUACGAGAGUUGCCGUAUUAAAGCGGUAAAUAGGACGUAUAAGUAUAUUUCUGUGAAUUCCAGACUGUUAAUAUUGCCCCUUACAAAUGCCACAAUAAACGUAGCCCUAUUUAAGCGGUAUAAUGGCUAUAAGCCAUUUCUCUAUAACGUUUCUGUGGAUGCCUGUAGAUUUUUGAAAACUCAAAAAUCGAACAUAGUCGUUAAAUAUUUAUUCGAUUUAAUUCUCUUACAAUCCAAUAUAAGAAGUCCGACCUGCCCAUUCAAUCAGUCCCUUAUUACUGUGGAUAGGCUCACUACCAACUUUCUGAAUAAUAAGCUUACGCAAGUUCUGCCAGUUCCUGAAGGCGACUAUCUUUUUGCAUUCAGAUGGUUCUCUUUUAAUAUUUAUCGUUCCUCUGUGAACGUGUACAUAACGAUAUCCUAAAUAUUAGUUUUGAAAACUUGGACGCCUAGUGGAUAUUCUAUUCAAAAGGAGUUCUUCAACAUUUUACUAAACCAAACAUAAUUAGUAUAUGCUUAACGCUUAUGUAUGUAAGUUUUAUGUUGACAACGUUAGGAUUAAAUGUUUCAAUGCUUUUUUAUAACUUCCUGGCCAGGGUAAUAAUUUUGCAUUAAUUGACAAUUUCAUGAACAGCAUUGGACAAUUUUAAGCACUAAAUUAUCAUAUCGGAAACAUAAAUAUUAAACUAAAUACUAAUGCCCUAAUGUUAUCCCAUAAGCAGACAAAAUAUAAUGUGUGCAUAAUUUUCGGCUAAUCCAUAUUUCAUGUCCGACAACUGCAUUGGCUUUCGGAAAAUCUCUACGUUAUCGAAAACAUCCUGUUUUUGCGGAAAGCCCAUUUAUGAAAUAUAUAGUAUAUAGUGCCCCUCGCUAUGAGUAUCUGAUAGAUAUGGGUAAACAAAAAAAGUUAGGCCAGAACCAAACUCGAAAUUCGAGUCUAAGCUCUGACUGCAUCCGCUUGUAAAUCAUAUUAAAAUAUUUAUGCUGCCGCCCGA